rnacentral:rRNA from 1 species
UACGUAGGCAGCGAGCGUUGUUCGGAAUUACUGGGCGUAAAGAGUGUGUAGGCGGUGCUCCCAGUCUGUUGUGAAAUCUCCCGGCUUAACUGGGAGGGUGCAGCGGAAACUAGAGUGCUAGAGGGUGGGAGAGGUAAGCGGAAUUCCUGGUGUAGCGGUGAAAUGCGUAGAUAUCAGGAGGAACACCGGCGGUGUAGACGGCUUGCUAGACCAUAACUGCGCUGAGGCACGAAAGCGUGGUAGCAAACAGG